UACAGAGGGUGCUAGCGUUGUUCGGAAUCAUUGGGCGUAAAGGGCGUGUAGGCGGUUUGUUAAGUCAUGUGUGAAAUCCCCUCGGCUCAACCGGGGAACGACGCAUGAAACUGGCAAGCUAGAGUACCAAAGAGGGGGGUGGAAUUCCCCGGUGUAGCGGUGAAAUGCGUAGAUAUCGGGAGGAACACCUGUGGCGAAGGCGGCCCCCUGGUUGGAUACUGACGCUGAGACGCGAAAGCGUGGGGAGCAAACAGG
rnacentral:rRNA from 1 species